CCAACUACAACUAAACAUUAAAAAAGAAGGAUUUCACCUGACCCCUGCACAUAGAAGCCGGCCCUGUCCGUCCACCUGCGGCAAUGCCGUGCAGCUCAGCAGAGCGCCGUCUGCCACCCCGGGAACCCUCCCUCGUGCCCUACCUGAUGGAGCCCGAACUGGGCCAUCAAGACACACGACUGGAGGUCCUACUAUGUGCCCACCUGGCUAACAGGGCCCUGGAGGCGGGGGGAGAGAGGAUACGGGAGAGCACGGACACAGGGCACUCGUCAUGGGAUCCUCUCUACAAACCUCGGGUCGGUGCAGAGGAAGCUGAGGCAGGAGGCCGGGUGACACUAAGGCCACUCAGCUGGUGAGGGGCAGGGCUGGGCAGAGCCCCGACCACCCUGUCCUGUACUCAAGGCAGGACCCAGUGGGGGUGUGUAAAUAGGAUGGCCAGAGGGGGGUGGACAGGGAGGACUCAGGACCAGGUUCCUACCACCUGCGCCCCCUCGGCCACACUGUGGUCCCCUCUGCCACCCUCUCUCCCUUCCCUGCCAGCCGGGGUGUGAAGACCCUCGGCUCUGAGGCCCAGUGGACCCUGGGCCCGUCGCCACCUCUCUCAAAGCCUCCGUUCCCCCUCUGCACCGUGGGCUGGGCUCAGCCACCGCCAAGCCCCAUGGACACCCAACUGCAGAGACCUAAACGCAGCACAGCACCCGGGAAGGUGUAAGCCCGGGAGCC